rnacentral:rRNA from 1 species
UUUAUGGAGAGUUUGAUCCUGGCUCAGGAUGAACGCUGGCGGCGUGCCUAAUACAUGCAAGUCGAGCGAACGGACGAGAAGCUUGCUUCUCUGAUGUUAGCGGCGGACGGGUGAGUAACACGUGGAUAACCUACCUAUAAGACUGGGAUAACUUCGGGAAACCGGAGCUAAUACCGGAUAAUAUUUUGAACUGCAUGGUUCAAAAGUGAAAGACGGUCUUGCUGUCACUUAUAGAUGGAUCCGCGCUGCAUUAGCUAGUUGGUAAGGUAACGGCUUACCAAGGCAACGAUGCAUAGCCGACCUGAGAGGGUGAUCGGCCACACUGGAACUGAGACACGGUCCAGACUCCUACGGGAGGCAGCAGUAGGGAAUCUUCCGCAAUGGGCGAAAGCCUGACGGAGCAACGCCGCGUGAGUGAUGAAGGUCUUCGGAUCGUAAAACUCUGUUAUUAGGGAAGAACAUAUGUGUAAGUAACUGUGCACAUCUUGACGGUACCUAAUCAGAAAGCCACGGCUAACUACGUGCCAGCAGCCGCGGUAAUACGUAGGUGGCAAGCGUUAUCCGGAAUUAUUGGGCGUAAAGCGCGCGUAGGCGGUUUUUUAAGUCUGAUGUGAAAGCCCACGGCUCAACCGUGGAGGGUCAUUGGAAACUGGAAAACUUGAGUGCAGAAGAGGAAAGUGGAAUUCCAUGUGUAGCGGUGAAAUGCGCAGAGAUAUGGAGGAACACCAGUGGCGAAGGCGACUUUCUGGUCUGUAACUGACGCUGAUGUGCGAAAGCGUGGGGAUCAAACAGGAUUAGAUACCCUGGUAGUCCACGCCGUAAACGAUGAGUGCUAAGUGUUAGGGGGUUUCCGCCCCUUAGUGCUGCAGCUAACGCAUUAAGCACUCCGCCUGGGGAGUACGACCGCAAGGUUGAAACUCAAAGGAAUUGACGGGGACCCGCACAAGCGGUGGAGCAUGUGGUUUAAUUCGAAGCAACGCGAAGAACCUUACCAAAUCUUGACAUCCUUUGACAACUCUAGAGAUAGAGCCUUCCCCUUCGGGGGACAAAGUGACAGGUGGUGCAUGGUUGUCGUCAGCUCGUGUCGUGAGAUGUUGGGUUAAGUCCCGCAACGAGCGCAACCCUUAAGCUUAGUUGCCAUCAUUAAGUUGGGCACUCUAAGUUGACUGCCGGUGACAAACCGGAGGAAGGUGGGGAUGACGUCAAAUCAUCAUGCCCCUUAUGAUUUGGGCUACACACGUGCUACAAUGGACAAUACAAAGGGCAGCGAAACCGCGAGGUCAAGCAAAUCCCAUAAAGUUGUUCUCAGUUCGGAUUGUAGUCUGCAACUCGACUACAUGAAGCUGGAAUCGCUAGUAAUCGUAGAUCAGCAUGCUACGGUGAAUACGUUCCCGGGUCUUGUACACACCGCCCGUCACACCACGAGAGUUUGUAACACCCGAAGCCGGUGGAGUAACCUUUUAGGAGCUAGCCGUCGAAGGUGGGACAAAUGAUUGGGGUGAAGUCGUAACAAGGUAGCCGUAUCGGAAGGUGCGGCUGGAUCACCUCCUUU